rnacentral:rRNA from 1 species
AUUGAACGCUGGCGGCAGGCCUAACACAUGCAAGUCGAGCGGAAACGAUGGGAGCUUGCUUCCAGGCGUCGAGCGGCGGACGGGUGAGUAAUGCAUAGGAAUCUGCCCGGUAGUGGGGGAUAACCUGGGGAAACCCAGGCUAAUACCGCAUACGUCCUACGGGAGAAAGCAGGGGAUCUUCCGGACCUUGCGCUAUCGGAUGAGCCUAUGUCGGAUUAGCUAGUUGGUGAGGUAAUGGCUYACCAAGGCGACGAUCCGUAGCUGGUCUGAGAGGAUGAUCAGCCACAUCGGGACUGAGACACGGCCCGAACUCCUACGGGAGGCAGCAGUGGGGAAUAUUGGACAAUGGGGGCAACCCUGAUCCAGCCAUGCCGCGUGUGUGAAGAAGGCUUUCGGGUUGUAAAGCACUUUCAGUGGGGAAGAAAGCCUUGGGGYUAAUACCCUCGAGGAAGGACAUCACCCACAGAAGAAGCACCGGCUAACUCCGUGCCAGCAGCCGCGGUAAUACGGAGGGUGCGAGCGUUAAUCGGAAUUACUGGGCGUAAAGCGCGCGUAGGUGGCUUGAUAAGCCGGUUGUGAAAGCCCCGGGCUCAACCUGGGAACGGCAUCCGGAACUGUCAGGCUAUAGUGCAGGAGAGGAAGGUAGAAUUCCCGGUGUAGCGGUGAAAUGCGUAGAGAUCGGGAGGAAUACCAAUGGCGAAGGCGGCCUUCUGGACUGACACUGACACUGAGGUGCGAAAGCGUGGGUAGCAAACAGGAUUAGAUACCCUGGUAGUCCACGCCGUAAACGAUGUCGACUAACCGUUGGGUCCUUCGCGGACUUUGUGGCGCAGUUAACGCGAUAAGUCGACCGCCUGGGGAGUACGGCCGCAUGGUUAAAACUCAAAUGAUUUGACGGGGGCCCGCACAAGCGGUGGAGCAUGUGGUUUAAUUCGAUGCAACGCGAAGAACCUUACCUACCCUUGACAUCGUGCGAACUUUCCAGAGAUGGAUGGGUGCCUUCGGGAACGCACAGACAGGUGCUGCAUGGCUGUCGUCAGCUCGUGUUGUGAAAUGUUGGGUUAAGUCCCGUAACGAGCGCAAACCCUUGUCCCUAUUUGCCAGCGAUUCGGUCGGGAACUCUAGGGAGACUGCCGGUGACAAACCGGAGGAAGGUGGGGACGACGUCAAGUCAUCAUGGCCCUUACGGGUAGGGGUACACACGUGCUGCAAUGGUCGGUACAAAGGGUUGCCAGCUCGCGAGAGUGCGCUAAUCCCAGAAAGCCGAUCUCAGUCCGGAUCGGAGUCUGCAACUCGACUCCGUGAAGUCGGAAUCGCUAGUAAUCGUGAAUCAGAAUGUCACGGUGAAUACGUUCCCGGGCCUUGCACACACCG